AUCUUUGAAAGGAGCGCAGCCUCAGUUCCUCCCGUGAUGUAUACAUACAAAUAAAUAUUUACAAACAAAAGAAAGUGUUUGUUUUGUGCAAAUGUGAAGUGCUGAGACAUUCGUAUAGACAGGUAGUUGCGUGUGGACGGAUCUGUAAAGAUGUUACUAUCUAGGGAUAACAUGCGGUAGAAUUCUUGUUUUUUGGUAGUUAAGAUGGUUUCAACACUACAGCUUCUCCUGCCAUCACUUGACAACCUAGCAGGUUGCAGCUCUGAAGCCUGACCUGUGCUUGCUUAAGAUCCCCCUCAUAUGAGAGACAGGCAUCAGCUGGACAGAAGAGUGUUACUCUUACGUUCAGCAAGCAGCUAGAGAGUACCUCGGGUAUUGUACCAAACUCAGACUUGUGAACACGAGCAUCAAGUUCAUCCAUUAUAAUCUUGUUAGUAGUGACAGAAUGUACCACAUAAUUGAAAACCUAGGUUAAAGUGCACUUAUGGUGUUGGCGGAACUUUCACUGUGUGGUGCUGUUGGUCUCCCCUGUACGACAACAUGGUCCCUAGAAAUUUGAAUCUAUCUACUUGCACUGUAAUCUUGUUGUCUAUAAUACUUUUGUUGUUACUGGUUUUUUCCACAGAAAGCCAUGGCUUUUGUUUUUUGUAUUGAUAUUGAUAUAUUAUAUAUCUAGCAUGUUUGGUAUAGUCUGUAGGCAGAUCUCUGCUGUCAAUCUUCAUUAUUCGAAAUUAACGCCUGGUCAUCUGCAAAUAACAGAGUCAUAAUGUAAUCUUUCUGGUUGAAGUUAUAUGCAUAAUUCUUCAGUUUCAUUCUCCAUUGCUGUAUAAUGUCAUCAGUGUAUAUACUAAAAAGCAGUGGAGAGAGGUUACAAUGUUGUGGAACUCCUAAAUUAAUAACCUUUGUUGUUUUUUCGUUAUUCCCAAUUCUUUGGAUUCUUGUAUUAGCGUAGAUCUUUCGAACUACGUGUACAACAUGUAUUGGUAUACCUUUUGUUAUUAAAAUUUCCCACAAUA